AUGAUCCCAGCUUGCUGGGGGAUUAGUGGCGAACGGGUGAGUAACACGUGAGUAACCUGCCCUUGACUCUGGGAUAAGCCUGGGAAACUGGGUCUAAUACCGGAUACGACCAUUCCACGCAUGUGGUGGUGGUGGAAAGCUUUUGUGGUUUUGGAUGGACUCGCGGCCUAUCAGCUUGUUGGUGGGGUAAUGGCCUACCAAGGCGACGACGGGUAGCCGGCCUGAGAGGGUGACCGGCCACACUGGGACUGAGACACGGCCCAGACUCCUACGGGAGGCAGCAGUGGGGAAUAUUGCACAAUGGGCGCAAGCCUGAUGCAGCGACGCCGCGUGAGGGAUGACGGCCUUCGGGUUGUAAACCUCUUUCAGUAGGGAAGAAGCGAAAGUGACGGUACCUGCAGAAGAAGCGCCGGCUAACUACGUGCCAGCAGCCGCGGUAAUACGUAGGGCGCAAGCGUUAUCCGGAAUUAUUGGGCGUAAAGAGCUCGUAGGCGGUUUGUCGCGUCUGCUGUGAAAGACCGGGGCUCAACUCCGGUUCUGCAGUGGGUACGGGCAGACUAGAGUGCAGUAGGGGAGACUGGAAUUCCUGGUGUAGCGGUGAAAUGCGCAGAUAUCAGGAGGAACACCGAUGGCGAAGGCAGGUCUCUGGGCUGUAACUGACGCUGAGGAGCGAAAGCAUGGGGAGCGAACAGGAUUAGAUACCCUGGUAGUCCAUGCCGUAAACGUUG
rnacentral:rRNA from 1 species